rnacentral:rRNA from 1 species
UACGUAGGGUGCAGGCGUUAAUCGGAAUUACUGGGCGUAAAGCGUGCGCAGGCGGUUUGUUAAGACAGGUGUGAAAUCCCCGGGCUUAACCUGGGAACUGCGCUUGUUACUGGCAGACUUGAGUGUGGCGGAGGGGGGUGGAAUUCCAGGUGUAGCAGUGAAAUGCGUAGAGAUCUGGAGGAACACCGAUGGCGAAGGCAGCCCCCUGGGUUAACACUGACGCUCAUGCACGAAAGCGUGGGGAGCAAACAGG